rnacentral:lncRNA from 1 species
CCUUUGGGAGGGCAAGUGCCGCCUUUUCUUGUUUUCCCCCUCUCGCUCCCGGCCACCGCCGCCAUUUUGCCUCCCCGAUCGGCUGCCGAUGCACGCGUGGGAUCGCUGAACUGGCUUGUUCUUUUGCAAAUGCCGGGUUGCUGCUUGCCGCAGUGUUCGAAUCACUCGGAGAAUGGGUGGAAGGUGUACGGCAUCCCAACAAACGCCAAACGGAGGCUUCUGGCGCUCGUACAGAUAAAGCGCGACGACUGGGAGCCGAGCCGUUUGUCGUCUGCGUGCGGCAUUAAGGCUUCUUCGACUUGGUACUGCAAUGAACCGCCGCAAAUAACUUCCGCUGGUCAUGGUCGAGGAGCGGCAUGGAAAGCAUCUGCGAGUCCUGUUUUUUGUAUAUAUCAAGCUGCUGUGUCAAAUAAAUCCUAG